GACGAACGCUGGCGGCGUGCUUAACACAUGCAAGUCGAACGAAGAGCGAUGGAAGCUUGCUUCUAUCAAUCUUAGUGGCGAACGGGUGAGUAACGCGUAAUCAACCUGCCCUUCAGAGGGGGACAACAGUUGGAAACGACUGCUAAUACCGCAUACGAUCUAAUCUCGGCAUCGAGGAUAGAUGAAAGGUGGCCUCUACAUGUAAGCUAUCACUGAAGGAGGGGAUUGCGUCUGAUUAGCUAGUUGGAGGGGUAACGGCCCACCAAGGCGAUGAUCAGUAGCCGGUCUGAGAGGAUGAACGGCCACAUUGGGACUGAGACACGGCCCAGACUCCUACGGGAGGCAGCAGUGGGGAAUCUUCCGCAAUGGACGAAAGUCUGACGGAGCAACGCCGCGUGAGUGAUGACGGCCUUCGGGUUGUAAAGCUCUGUUAAUCGGGACGAAAGGCCUUCCUGCGAAUAGUGAGAAGGAUUGACGGUACCGGAAGAGAAAGCCACGGCUAACUACGUG
rnacentral:rRNA from 1 species